GAGUAGAGGCAGGGAUACUAGCUAAGAAGCUGUUGCAGCAAUGAAAGAAGAAAUGAUGAGAACCUAAACUAAGGCAAUACUAAUGGGAGCAAAGAGAAGUGAAGAGAUUUCACAGGUUUAUAAGAAGAAAGUGGUAGGACUUGAAAAUUAAUUGGAUGUAAAGACCAAAGCAAGGGGCAGUCAAGGAUGGCUCCUGGAUUUCUGGCUUAAGAGACUAGGUGGAUGAAAGAGCAGAUGAGAACACCAAAGACAGAAUAUAUGGUUCUUCUAGAAGAUCCACUUUCAAUUUUACUAAAGUGAAUGACCCACUUCGAUGAAAAGAAUAAUGACUUCUAAGGUCUCUUACAACUCUAAUGUUACAAUUCUAUUGUUCAUCUGGAAUUGCCUUUUGAAGACAGCACACCUGUGGCCUAAAACUUCCUUGGUGAACAUGUGAAAUAUUUUUUAAUGAAAGUCCAUUACAUAUAAAGCCAUACAACCCCAAACAUGCAGUGAUAAUGCUUAUAGCAAAGAAAAACCAAGUAAAGACACUAUCUACAUUUACCUACUCUGAUCCCAAUUGGCUGCAAACAGCAAAAGAAUCUUCCUGCCAUAAUGGUCUCGGUUUUCCAGCACCCCGGGGAAUCCAUCGAUCAGAGCCCUCUUAAUGCCGGGAUCAUCUGCCUUGAAGUUUUUGAACAUGUCCAGGUUUAGCUGGCGGUACUGGAAAUACUGAGCCAGGAGUCUAAAGGCAUCCGCUUGGUGAAACUUCCUGGCUCGGAGAAAUCUCAGGAUGAAGGCAUCAUCUGUACGUAAAAAUCCAAUGUCAGGCCUGGUGAUGAUCAUGUCCCUGACUUGCUGAAUAUCCUGAUGUAAAACAUCGGGGUUCUCAUUCAGUUCCAGGCGAGCUUUCUCUAUAGUCUCUGGACUGAGUCCAGCCUGUAAAUGGGUCAUCUUGGCCAAAUCUCCGUUCCAAGUGUUUAACUUCUGAUAUUUUGGAAGAAGAGAGACUGGUCCCAUUCACCUGAUGGUCUGCUGAAACUGUGGCCCAUUCAACAGUGUUUUACUACCAGGCUGCCCCGGAACAGACAAAUAGAGGGUCUUCUUUCACAUUCAGGCCCUAUGUGGUGGUGUUCAUCCAAAACAGAAGCAAAACUGAGGCCAUUGCUUACUGAAAAACAAAUACACACAAAAGAAACAGAAGAGAGAUGAUGCAAAGAAAGUCUGGGCAAAUUAAUUGGAGCUUAGAUAGAAAAACAGUAUAUUAGGCUGUGGGUCUGAUUAGAUUAGGUGUCCAAAGAACAAAUGAUAAAUUAUCCUUAAAAUGGGGUAUUGAGCAUAAGUUGAUUGUAGACAACUUGAAAAUCUAAUAUGCAAAUAUUUGAAAUAUGUUUGGGAACGUUUUAGUUCCAUUGACUAGUUAACAUAAUAGUGCUUGAUCAGAUUAGCAAUAGCAUGCACUUUUAUUAAUUACCUUAAGAAACAGUGAGAGGAGAGAAGGAUACUUCUCUGUGACAGCAUGCUUUAUGGGACCACUCACAGGCCUGGAUAUGGCAGAGAAAUUAUAGCUAUAUGGUAAAAUUUAUUGCUUCCCAUUGGCCUCUUUUCUCAAACAGAAGUAUCUUUCACAGAAAUAACCCUUCCCCCACUUUCUUAAAGCCAGCCAUUUGCAUCUUAACUAUAAAAAACUUCCCCUAUUUUAACCCCGCCAGUGUUCGUGACUCACAGGAGUCCUCCACCAGUAUGUGUGAAGAGUGGGGGUGGGGACAGGCCUAUGGCUGAAAACUUGACCUCCAAUAAUCAAAUUCAACAAUGGGCAAGGAGGCUCACAGGGACAUUUGCAAAUGGCUUUAUUAUUUGCAUUUGCCAUUCUUUUACUAGGAAAGCAGAGGGACUUGAGACUCUUGGUUGGCUCCCUACCCAACCCAAUGUCCAUAUGGGCUUAAAAAUCCUUCCAUUGUAUAUAACCUGCCUGUUUUCCUAAGAUGCUGUUUUACUUAUGAUAAUGAUAUUUUAAUCCCCUCAGAUACAUCCUUUAUGAUUUCUCCACCAAAAUGGUAUACAGAGGAACACCCAUACUGUUUCCAUCUUAUUUUAAAUAUAAAUGCUUAAACUCUUGCAGACAUCUGUUUGGUCUAACCUGGAAGUUUCCAAAAUCAGAAGACACACUAAAUAUAAAUAAACUUAGAGGCAUUUAUUUUUCCUAGCUUUCUUAAGUCAAUCUUAUCUGCAGUAAGAGGCAGAAUAUUUACUCCCAAUCUAAUCAUUAUUGGUAAUGCUUUCUCAUACAAAAUUACUUAAAUGAUGAUUGUUCUGCUUAAUUUAGGACUAACUCUCUUAA
rnacentral:lncRNA from 1 species